UGGGUGGCAAACCCGUGGGCGCAAUGAAAGUGAAGGCAGGCGCUCUGGGCCUGCUGUGGCGAGAGCCGCUGCCCCCAGCUGCGGCGCAUCGUCGACCGAUCCCGGGCUACGCUGUGGCGGGAUUUGAGUGAGAGCGUGCCUGUUGCGACCCGAAAGAUGGUGAACUAUGCCUGAAUAGGGUGAAGCCAGAGGAAACCCUGGUGGAAGCUCGCAGCGAUUMUGACGUGCAAAUCGAUCGUCAAAUUUGGGUAUAGGGGCGAAAGACUAAUCGAACCGUCUAGUAGCUGGUUCCCUCCGAAGUUUCCCUCAGGAUAGCUGGAGCCCGUGUGGCAGUUUUAUCAGGUAAAGCGAAUGAUUAGAGGUCUUGGGGCUGAAACGGCCUCAACCUAUUCUCAAACUUUAAAUGGGUAAGAAGCCCGGCUUGCUCGGUUGAAGUCGGGCGCAGAAUGCCUGGGCUCCCAGUGGGCCAUUUUUGGUAAGCAGAACUGGCGAUGUGGGAUGAACCGAAAGUCGGGUUAAGGUGCCGGAAUCGACGCUCAUCAGAUCCCAUGAAAGGUGUUGGUUGAUACAGACAGCAGGACGGUGGCCAUGGAAGUCGGAAUCCGC
rnacentral:rRNA from 1 species